AGAUUGAUAUUUGCACCGUGUCAUUUUCUGAUGGCAGAGCAUUUUGUCUUCUUCACCAUUAUUAACCUGACCUGAUUCCUAUGGACCUUAUCAACUGGCAUCAUACACAGAAGCUACCAUCUCAGGGAGUUGAUUUGAUCAUGUCACUGGAUGACAGCUUCAUUGAAAUGACAUACACAGACACAAGUACUAAAGAAGAUUACAACCGCACGCAUGCGAUUGAAAGGGACAAUUUGGCUGUUUUCAAUGACAAGAUGGGUGCUCUUGCUGUCAAAUAAUCUCAUGGUGAGAUGCCUUCCCUAGAUGGUAAUUUAUCAUUCUUAGGAGAGGUGCUUGUAGCCCUUCCACUUCACCCCCAUCUUGCCAAGCUGAUUGUGAUUGGCUAUCUGUUCGGUUGUGUCAUGGAAUGUAAGAUUAUUGGUGAGUAAAGAUGUUAUUCUCAUUUAAGAUCUUAAAAUUUGUCUCUGUUUUCUGCCUCUUUGUUCUACAGGAUCCAUAUGGGUUAAUUAGUUUGUCAUGGUAGAAUGGAUGCUUCACUUGUAACAGUACUUUGACUUAAUGGAUCAUACUGUUUACUGUCAAGCAUUGUAUGCCUUCUUGUUUUGUAUCCUAGUUAAUUUAUGGAGUUCUUUUGGCUGUCAUAAAAUUAUUGUUGGGGAUGGGGAAGACAACAUAUAGUGGGAAGAUAGUUUUUAUGAUUAAUAAUAGAUGGGUGAGUGUAUAGGCUGUCUGGCCAAACUGUCUACACUGCUUUAUAGAUUUUAUUAUUAAUUGUGUGAAUGAUUGUAUUAUAACAGCCACAUUCUUUUUGUAAGGCAGUGCAUAAAUUUUUUGAUAAUCUGUAUAUUAUAACUUACUCAAGUAGAAUAAACAUGUUAAUUC